CUCUCCCACAGCUUGGGUGAUGCCUGGGUGCUGACUCUGCACCUGCCCGGGAAGCUGAAGGUGCACCAGAGGCGGUGGAGGGGGGGGCUCGGGCUGAGGGAGGAGCCUGAGGACUCCCUGGGGCCCCCGGGGUGGGGGGGAUGCACGGCAAAGGGGGUGGGGGGUGAGGGGAGGCUGCGCUCUUCCGCAGCCGGAGCUGUGCCACAGUGCGCGCGGCCACCUGUGUCAGACCUGGAAGCUGGAGAAGCCCGGGGCCGGGCUGGGGCGCAGGCCUGGGUGGGGGAAGGAUCACGGAGACGGCCUGCACCACGCACCCUAGGGGACGCUGCCCACUGGGAGGGCCCAGGAGACGUGGGAGGGGGUUCGCAUCGCUGUGCCCUUGGCCACGCCAGCCACUGUCCCCAGCCUUCCCUCCCCAGGGCUCUGCGCUGGACCUGACUAUCAUCCUCCCAGACCCCUGAUGAGCGACUCCGUGCUGGAGCGUCCCAAGAGCGGAUGCCCUGGUACCCCAACAGGCCGCUGCAAGAGGAGGACGAGCUCGCCUUAACCACCCCCCCCCCCCCCGCCCGGUGCGCACCAAGGCCUGGUUCCUGCCUGAGGUGUUGCCGUCUGGGGGCUUGUGCCUGGGGGCUGAGUGCGGGGCAGAGCGAGGAUGCGAACCUGUGUGCUGUGAUGGGAGAAGAGAAGCCCUUGCCCCAGAUGGUAAAGGCCUACCUGGUGAUGGUGCCUCGGCCGCCGCUUCAGUGGCAGCAGAGGUACCCCCCUGCCCCUGGCUGGGACCCUGUUGACCCAUGACCUUUAGCCUUGGAAGUCGACCGACACCCUCAACUCAGAUGGAAGAUCCAAUCCUGAACCAGGUAAGCUGGUGGAGUUGGGGUGUGGUGGGGCCUGUGCCAGGACCAGAGUGGGGUCCUUGGGUACUGGGUCUGGACGGGGAGGAGGAAGAGGGGGCUCAGCCUGGCCUGCGGCAGUUGACUUGAUUUGCUUCUGGGUAUGUGUCCUGCCUGCAGGUAGACAUGCAGGUGUGCAGACACACAGGUGCAGGCCUGCCUAUGUACGCACACCUUUGGGAAAAUGCUGAUGCAUAGGCGAGGACACCUGGCGUAGACAUGCACUGACUGGGCACCCGUCUCGUGCCAGGCACUUUGCAUGCCCACCACUGUGUGAGUUCAUUGGCUCGACUGAUCCCCACUUGACAUGGGACAUUUGCUUUAGGUCCCAACUGCCGGGCAGGGGAUGAAGUUGAGAUCUGAUCCGAGGCAGUUGCGUCGGUUUGAGACAUUGGAGACACAGAGAGGAGCCGUCCCUGCCCUGCAAGGGCUGGCAUGAUGAUGGCAGAGACAAACACUACCCAAAUCAGUAAGUAAUGAGAUAGGAGAUAGUGAUCAGUGUCCUGAAUUAACACAAAGUAAGAUAUGAAGGAGAGAGAAUGAAUCAGAGGAGGGAUGUGGUUAUUUAGCUCAGGGAUCAGAGGAGGCCUUUCUGAGGGGGUGAUUUUUGAGGAGAUAUGAAAGGAGGUGAGGGAGGGAGCGUGAUGAUAUCUGGGGGGAACAGUGGUUCAGGCACAGGAACAACCCAUGUAUAGGCCCGGGGGCAGGACUGUGCCUGGAAGUUGGAGGAACUACGUGGAGGCCCAUGUGACUGGAGCAGAGUGAGGGAAGGGGAGAGAGGGGGGCGGAGAGGCAGGGAGAACUUUUUUGUUUUUUGUUUUUUAGAACUUGGGUUUUUAACUCUGAGGAGAGUGGGAGCCCUGGAGGGCUGCAGACCUGGCUCAGGGGCUCACGGGCACCCUCUGGGGGCUGGUGUGGGGAGGAUAGACUAUGGGAGCAUGGGUGGCCUGGGGACCAGGACUAGUCCAGGUAGGCCAUGAUAGGAUAGGACCAGGUGGGGCUAAGGAGGAGGAAAGUGGGUUGCUUCUGGCUAGAUUUUGAACCGGAGCUUCUAGGGUUUGCUGAAGGAUUCGAUAUGCGGUGUAGAGAGAUGCUGAGGAUCCCCCGAUGCUCCUGGCCUGAGCGAGUGAAGAACUCAUGUGUCUUGAACGGAACUGGCGAAGACAACCGGGUCACAUGACCUUUGAGAUGUCGCCAGGGGCCACCUAGGAUGCAAACAGAGGUGUCAAUUUGGGAAUCAUGGCGUAAGGUGAUUUUUUAAAAAAAGAGUUUCAACUUGGUUUUAAUAAUUCCUUUGUCAGAUUUCUCUCAUUCCUCUGAACGUGGAAAUAGUUCCGAGCUAUAAACCGUGUCUAGAUUGCCAGUACAUUUAGUUUUAGGUUUUGUUUUUGUUUUUCAAACAUCAAAGGUGACCUCUGCCACCAAUUGUUAACCAUGCCAUAGUCGUGACCAUUAAACGUUCCUUUAGGAGUCCAGUUGUAGCAAGUGACAAAUCAAAAGGGAAGAGUCUAUAGCAAAUGUUUUUUUUUUUUUUUUUUUUAGCAAAUGUUUAAUGUUGCUGGAAAGGAUCCUCAGCCCAACAUAAAAUAGAUUAAACAUCAGAAUGUGGUCCAUCCCUUACUGUCAUUGUUCAAGAAAGUUCCUGAAACCCGUAUUCUUCUGUGAAGCAUUGGGCUAAAUCACAGUGGAUUUUUAAGUCGCAUCCUUGGUAAUUAAUCAUACGAUCACGUCUUGUCAAUCAGAGUGAACGCUAAUGCGGUAUCCAGAAAUCUUAUCAUCUGUUUCUCCAGAAGGGACCUGGGCACUGCUUCCCAGUAUCUUAGCCGGAUUUCUUCAUACCAGGCAAGUAGGUGAUUCUGGGACUGAGAAAUUAUUAUUAUUAUUAUUGUUAUUAUUUGAAUAUUUUAUUUGUUUAUUUGUUUUGAGAGGGAGAGAGAGAGUGAGAGAGUGAGGGAGCCAGCACACAUGUGAGUGAGGGGGAAAGGCCAAGGGAGAGAGAGAGAGGGAAUCCUGAGCACAUUCUGUGCUGAGUGUGGAGCCAAUGUGGGGCUUGAUCCUAUGGCUCUGAGAUUGUGACCUGAGCUGAAAUAAAAAAUUGGAUGCUCAACUGACUGAGCCA
rnacentral:lncRNA from 12 species